rnacentral:rRNA from 1 species
UACAGAGGGUGCAAGCGUUAAUCGGAAUGACUGGGCGUAAAGGGUGUGUAGGUGGUUGAUUAAGUUAGAUGUGAAAUCCCCGGGCUUAACCUGGGAACUGCAUUUAAUACUGGUUGACUAGAGUAUGGGAGAGGUAAGUGGAAUUUCCGGUGUAGCGGUGAAAUGCGUAGAUAUCGGAAGGAACACCAGUGGCGAAGGCGGCUUACUGGCCUAAUACUGACACUGAAACACGAAAGCGUGGGGAGCAAACAGG